rnacentral:tRNA from 1 species
UGGGCUAUGGCCAAGCGGUAAGGCAUUGGACUCUGACUCCAAGAUCGCUAGUUCGAUCCUAGCUAGCCCAG